GGGAUUGCCUCAGUAACGGCGAGUGAAGCGGCAACAGCUCAAAUUUGAAAUCUGGCCCCCUCGGGGUCCGAGUUGUAAUUUGUAGAGAGUGCUUCGGAGGAGACCGCGGUCUAAGUCCAUUGGAACAUGGCGUCAUAGAGGGUGAGAAUCCCGUAUGUGACUGUGGCUCGAACCCGUGUGAAGCCUCUUCGACGAGUCGAGUUGUUUGGGAAUGCAGCUCAAAAUGGGUGGUAAAUUUCAUCUAAAGCUAAAUACUGGCUGGAGACCGAUAGCGCACAAGUAGAGUGAUCGAAAGAUGAAAAGCACUUUGGAAAGAGAGUUAAAAAGUACGUGAAAUUGUUGAAAGGGAAGCGCUGGCAACCAGACCUGUCCGUAGGCGAUCAGCCGCUGUUCUCAGUGGUGCACUCGCUCUGCGAUCAGGCCAGCAUCGGUUUCGGCGGUCGGAUAAAGGCCUUGGGAAUGUAGCUUCCCCUCGGGGGAGUCUUAUAGCCCUCGGUGCAAUGCGGCCAGCCGGGACCGAGGACCGCGCUUCGGCUAGGAUGCUGGCGUAAUGGUUGUCAGCGACCCGUCUUGAAACACGGACCAAGGAGUCUAAUAUCUAUGCGAGUGUUUGGGUGUCAAACCCAUACGCGGAAUGAAAGUGAACGGAGGUGAGAACCCUUAAGGGCGCAUCAUCGACCGAUCCAGAUGUCUUCGGAUGGAUUUGAGUAUGAGCAUAAAUAUUGGGACCCGAAAGAUGGUGAACUAUGCCUGAAUAGGGUGAAGCCAGAGGAAACUCUGGUGGAGGCUCGCAGCGGUUCUGACGUGCAAAUCGAUCGUCAAAUUUGGGUAUAGGGGCGAAAGACUAAUC
rnacentral:rRNA from 1 species